UACGAAGGGGGCUAGCGUUGCUCGGAAUCACUGGGCGUAAAGCGCACGUAGGCGGUUUGUUAAGUCAGAGGUGAAAUCCUGGAGCUCAACUCCAGAACUGCCUUUGAUACUGGCGAUCUUGAGUCCGGGAGAGGUGAGUGGAACUGCGAGUGUAGAGGUGAAAUUCGUAGAUAUUCGCAAGAACACCAGUGGCGAAGGCGGCUCACUGGCCCGGUACUGACGCUGAGGUGCGAAAGCGUGGGGAGCAAACAGG
rnacentral:rRNA from 1 species